rnacentral:rRNA from 1 species
CCUACGGGAGGCUGCAGUGAGGAAUAUUGGUCAAUGGGCGCGAGCCUGAACCAGCCAAGUCGCGUGAGGGAAGACGGUCCUAUGGAUUGUAAACCUCUUUUGUCGGGGAGCAAAAGCCGCCACGCGUGGCGUUCCGAGAGUACCCGGAGGAAAAGCAUCGGCUAACUCCGUGCCCGCAGCCGCGGUAAUACGGAGGAUGCGAGCGUUAUCCGGAUUUAUUUGGGUUAAAGGGUGCGCAGGCGGGAGUUCAAGUCAGCGGUAAAAUUGAGGGGCUCAACCUCUUCGAGCCGUUGAAACUGGUGUCCUUGAGUGAGUGAGAAGUAUGCGGAAUGCGUGGUGUAGCGGUGAAAUGCAUAGAUAUCACGCAGAACUCCGAUUGCGAAGGCAGCAUACCGGCGCUCUACUGACGCUGAGGCACGAAAGUGUGGGUAUCGAACAGGAUUAGAUACCCGGGUAGUC